GGUUGUUAUCUUUGGUUAUCUAGCUGUAUGAGUGGUGUCAAUUCUUCAUAAAGCUAGAUAACCGAAAGUAAAAAUAACCCCAUUACACGCCUGAGGAGGAUGUGGAGAAGAAAGGAAAUUCAUCAAAAGGAAGAGGAGGAAGAGAAAAAAUGAAAUGGAAAAAAAGGAAGAGAAAGGAAAUGAGAGGCGGAAAAAAAAAAAAAAACUGGGGAAAAAAGACAACUUUUUGAGACUGGAAUUAAAACCCGAGCAGCCUGAAGCCCGUCCUGCCGCAGCUCCAGGGAUGCCUUUGACACCAGGGAGGAGCGUUCACCCACGUUCACCCCCCCCGUGAUGCUCUGCUCAUUUUCUGGCUGGCGAAUCGCAGGUCUCUGGCCCUGGUGAAAGUUUGCAGGGAAUUUCCUGCUCAGAUCAGCUCACUAUAACAUGAACCCAGGACUGGGGGCUAUAUGGAAGAAAAAAACAACCUCCAAAAGCCGCGAGAGCCUGGCCAUGCAGGAGCUGCCAGCAGGACCUGUCUUGUGGGACCCUCAGCAGAAGCCCCUCACCAUGGCUGAUCCCACACCCUCCUCUUCCUCCUCCUGCCAGCAGACCCUGGCCUGGAGCACGACGUAGAUCGCGAUUUGCACCAGCAUCCACCCAGGCUGCUCGGGGCUGCAGGCCAGCACGGGGACACCAGCACCUCUUUGGGGACGGAUGGGGUGGAGAGGACACCAGGAUGUCCCCAUCCCGCCGCUGCGCAUCGCCCCGUGGGCAGCUCGCUGGUGAAUAACACGAGGCUGGAAGGAAAAAAAAAAAAAAAAAAAAAAAUAGGAAGGAAAGAAAGGAAGAAAGUCCCCAAACCCAGGAAAUCUGUGUUAAUUGCUUAUGAAUGUCUCUGUCUAAAAAAAUUAUUGAAUUGAUGUUGUCGUGGGUUUUUUUGACAGCCUGUCUGUUACAUUUUUUUAAAAUAUUCAUGUACCGAAAUCUAAUUACUAGGCAAAUUUAAUGAUAAUGAAAUGAAGGCACUUUAGCAGAAAGCACAGGGCCUUGUUAAUGUUUUCUCAGCCUCUGUCUUGUUCAUAUUUUUAAAAUAUUUUUUUUUUUACAACUGCCUUUCUUGCAUAAAAAAAAAAAAAAAA